GAUGAACGCUGGCGGCGUGCCUAAUACAUGCAAGUAGAACGCUGAAGGAGGAGCUUGCUCUUCUGGAUGAGUUGCGAACGGGUGAGUAACGCGUAGGUAACCUGCCUGGUAGCGGGGGAUAACUAUUGGAAACGAUAGCUAAUACCGCAUGACAACAGUUAUUGCAUGAUAACUGUUUAAAAGUGGCAACUGCUCCACUACCAGAUGGACCUGCGUUGUAUUAGCUAGUUGGUGAGGUAACGGCUCACCAAGGCGACGAUACAUAGCCGACCUGAGAGGGGGAUCGGCCACACUGGGACUGUGACACGGCCCAGACGCCUUCGGGAGGCAGCAGUAGGGCAUCUUCGGCAAUGGGCGGGAGUCUGACCGAGCAACGCCGCGUGAGUGAAGAAGGUUUUCGGAUCGUAAAGCUCUGUUGUCAGAGAAGAACGAGUGUGAGCGUGGAAAGUUCACACUGUGACGGUAUCUUACCAGAAAGGGACGGCUAACUACGUG
rnacentral:rRNA from 1 species